AGGCCAUGGAGAGGCUGCAGGGCCAUGGACAUGGCGGAGAGGAGGACAUUCUUGGCCGAUGUAGAAGCUGCGGGAGAGGAGAGCAGUUUCAGUCAUGCAGCCCUCCUCCCCUCCCCUUAUCUUCUUCUUCUGGAUUUGUUCUGAUCCGUGCGUUUGGUUUGUGCAGGCCAUCACCAAGCUGUUGCCGGUGUGCCCGCCAAGGUGCCUAAUUUGGGCAGCUCGACAGUGGCAAGCAACCCCAGCCCGCUCCACCGAGCGCACCAAGGUGCCUGAUUUGGCACCUCGACGACGACGAGCAAUCCCACCCUUCUCCACCGAGCCCACCAAGGUGCCUGAUUUGGCAGCUAUGGAGGCCAUCACCAAGGUCCUGCGAGUUUGAAGGAGCAGAAGGUCCAAGGGCCUGCCCACCAAGGCCGCCAAUGUGCCCAACUAAAGAGAGGAAGCUCACCAGCGAGUUGAUUUUGAAUGUCGGCCACUACAACUGAGUGAUAGGAGGAGGUCCAGUAGCAGCCGCAGCUCAGGUUCCUCCCUCUCUUAAGGAGGUCCAGCAGUAGCAACAACUCAACUCCAGUGGCCUGGCUUCGCAGGCCCUCCUCCCGCACGUAAAUCAGCGUUGUCCCGUGUCCGACCUCACAGCCUCCGAGUCCAUGCUCGCCGUCACCAACUACCCAGAGCCCACCCUCCUCGCAAGGUGAGCAACAAUGCAGGGGUGAUGGCUACACCUUUCUCCCUCAAAGGAUGGCAAGAUUGCAACCAACCAUGUCGGAGCUCGAGGUCUACAAAAUUUAAAGUUCGAAACCAUAUAGCUCUACUCAGCAAAGAGUCGUCUCUUCUGUUUGAUUGUAAUAGAAUGUAAAUAUUGUAAUAUUGUAAUAGUAGGCAUAUCUGGGUUGUAAUAAC